rnacentral:rRNA from 1 species
CUUUACUACUUGGAUAACCCGUGGUAAUUCUAGAGCUAAUACAUGCUGAAAACCCCGACUUCGGGAGGGGUGUAUUUAUUAGAUAAAAAACCAACGCCCUUUCGGGGCUUCUUGGUGAUUCAUGAUAACUUCACGGAUCGCAUGGCCUUGCGCCGGCGACGGUUCAUUCAAAUUUCUGCCCUAUCAACUUUCGAUGGUAAGGUAUUGGCUUACCAUGGUUUCAACGGGUAACGGGGAAUUAGGGUUCGAUUCCGGAGAGGGAGCCUGAGAAACGGCUACCACAUCCAAGGAAGGCAGCAGGCGCGCAAAUUACCCAAUCCCGACACGGGGAGGUAGUGACAAUAAAUACUGAUACAGGGCUCUUUUGGGUCUUGUAAUUGGAAUGAGUACAAUUUAAACCUCUUAACGAGGAACAAUUGGAGGGCAAGUCUGGUGCCAGCAGCCGCGGUAAUUCCAGCUCCAAUAGCGUAUAUUAAAGUUGUUGCAGUUAAAAAGCUCGUAGUUGAAACUUGGGCCUGGCUGGCAGGUCCGCCUCACCGCGUGUACUUGUCCGGCCGGGCCUUUCCUUCUGGAGAACCUCAUGCCCUUCACUGGGUGUGCUGGGGAACCAGGACUUUUACUUUGAAAAAAUUAGAGUGUUCAAAGCAGGCCUUUGCUCGAAUACGUUAGCAUGGAAUAAUAGAAUAGGACGUGCGGUCCUAUUUUGUUGGUUUCUAGGACCGCCGUAAUGAUUAAUAGGGACAGUCGGGGGCAUCAGUAUUCAAUUGUCAGAGGUGAAAUUCUUGGAUUUAUUGAAGACUAACUACUGCGAAAGCAUUUGCCAAGGAUGUUUUCAUUAAUCAGUGAACGAAAGUUAGGGGAUCGAAGACGAUCAGAUACCGUCGUAGUCUUAACCGUAAACUAUGCCGACUAGGGAUCGGGCGAUGUUCUUUUUCUGACUCGCUCGGCACC